UACGUAGGGUGCAAGCGUUAAUCGGAAUUACUGGGCGUAAAGCGUGCGCAGGCGGUUCGCAAAGACAGGUGUGAAAUCCCCCGGGCUUAACCUGGGAACUGCGCUUGUAACUAGCGGGCUAGAGUGCGGCAGAGGGGGGGUGGAAUUCCACGUGUAGCAGUGAAAUGCGUAGAUAUGUGGAGGAACACCGAUGGCGAAGGCAGGUCUCUGGGCCAUAACUGACGCUGAGA
rnacentral:rRNA from 1 species